rnacentral:rRNA from 1 species
AGUGAACGCUGGCGGUAGGCCUAACACAUGCAAGUCGAACGGCAGCACAGUAAGAGCUUGCUCUUACGGGUGGCGAGUGGCGGACGGGUGAGGAGUACAUCGGAAUCUACUUUUUCGUGGGGGAUAACGUAGGGAAACUUACGCUAAUACCGCAUACGACCUACGGGUGAAAGCAGGGGAUCUUCGGACCUUGCGCGAUUGAAUGAGCCGAUGUCGGAUUAGCUAGUUGGCGGGGUAAAGGCCCACCAAGGCGACGAUCCGUAGCUGGUCUGAGAGGAUGAUCAGCCACAUUGGAACUGAGACACGGUCCAGACUCCUACGGGAGGCAGCAGUGGGGAAUAUUGGACAAUGGGCGCAAGCCUGAUCCAGCCAGACCGCGUGGGUGAAGAAGGCCUUCGGGUUGUAAAGCCCUUUUGUUGGGAAAGAAAAGCAGCAGGUUAAUACCCCGCUGUUCUGACGGUACCCAAAGAAUAAGCACCGGCUAACUUCGUG